GUGCCAGCCGCCGCGGUAAGACGAAUGGUGCAAGCGUUGUUCGGAAUCACUGGGCAUAAAGAGCACGUAGGCGGUGGCAUAAGUCAGCUGUGAAAUCCCUCGGCUCAACCGAGGAACUGCAUCUGAAACUGUGCCGCUAGAGUGUGGGAGGGGAGAGCGGAAUUCCUGGUGGAGCGGUGAAAUGCGUAGAUAUCAGGAGGAACGCCGGAGGCGAAAGCGGCUCUCUGGUCCACUACUGACGCUAAGGUGCGAAAGCUAGGGGAGCAAACAGGAUUAGAUACCCUGGUAGUCCUAGCCGUAAACGAUGGGCACUAAGUAGAGGAACUCCGAAGGUUUCUCUGCCGGAGCUAAUGUGUUAAGUGCCCCGCCUGGGGAGUAUGGUCGCAAGGCUAAAACUCAAAGGAAUUGACGGGGGCUCACACAAGCGGUGGAGCAUGUUGUUUAAUUCGAUGCAACGCGAAGAACCUUACCUGGGCUUGACAUGUAGGUGGUACCAAUCCGAAAGGGGAGGGACCCUCUUUGAGGGAGCCUACACAGGUAUUGCAUGGCUGUCGUCAGCUCGUGUCGUGAGAUGUUGGGUUAAGUCCCGUAACGAGCGAAACCCUUGUCCUUAGUUGCCAGCGGGUCAUGCCGGGGACUUUAAGGAGACUGCCGGUGUUAAACCGGAGGAAGGCGGGGAUGACGUCAAGUCAUCAUGGUCCUUACGCCCAGGGCGACAAACGUGCUACAAUGACUGGUACAAAGGGAAGCCAAGCCGCGAGGUGGAGCAAAUCCCAAAAAGCCAGUCUCAGUUCGGAUUGGAGGCUGAAAUUCGCCUCCAUGAAGUCGGAAUCGCUAGUAAUCGCGGAUCAGCCAUGCCGCGGUGAAUGUGUUCCUGAGCCUUGCACACACCGCCCGUC
rnacentral:rRNA from 1 species